CCUACGGGGGGCAGCAGUCGAGGAUCUUCGGCAAUGGGGGAAACCCUGACCGAGCGACGCCGCGUGCGGGAUGAAGGCCUUCGGGUUGUAAACCGCUGUCGUAGAGGAGGAAGUGCAGGGGGGUUCUCCCCUCUGCUUGACCUAUUCUAGGAGGAAGUACGGGCUAAGUUCGUGCCAGCAGCCGCGGUAAGACGAACCGUACGAACGUUAUUCGGAAUUACUGGGCUUAAAGGGUGCGUAGGCUGCGCGGAAAGUUGGGUGUGAAAGCCCUCAGCUCAACUGAGGAAUUGCACUCAAAACUACCGUGCUCGAGGGAGACAGAGGUAAGCGGAACUCAAGGUGGAGCGGUGAAAUGCGUUGAUAUCUUGAGGAACACCGGUGGCGAAGGCGGCUUACUGGGUCUCUUCUGACGCUGAGGCACGAAAGCUAAGGUAGCAAACGGGAUUAGAUACCCCGGUAGUC
rnacentral:rRNA from 1 species